CUCAGGGCUGGGGCACUAGGUUUACCCAGAGGGAUGGGAUGGGGAGGGAGGUGGGAGGGGGGUUCAGGACGGGGAGCACAUGUAAACCCAUGACUGAUUAAUGUCAAUGGGAAAAAUCACUACAAUAUUGUAAAGUAAUUAGCCUCCAAUUAAAAUAAAUAAAUAAAAUAAAAUAAAAUACACUAGG